rnacentral:tRNA from 1 species
AGAUAGUUAGUCUAACUAAAACAUUUGAUUUCGGCUCAAAAACUUGCGGUUAAAGUCCGCAACUGUCUU